CAAGAGCCUGAGCCUCAACAGGAUGAGU
rnacentral:piRNA from 1 species